rnacentral:rRNA from 1 species
GACGAACGCUGGCGGCGUGCUUAACACAUGCAAGUCGAACGGAAAGGCCCUGCUUUUGUGGGGUGCUCGAGUGGCGAACGGGUGAGUAACACGUGAGUAACCUGCCCUUGACUUUGGGAUAACUUCAGGAAACUCGGGCUAAUACCGGAUAGGAGCUCCUGCUGCAUGGUGGGGGUUGGAAAGUUUCGGCGGUUGGGGAUGGACUCGCGGCUUAUCAGCUUGUUGGUGGGGUAGUGGCUUACCAAGGCUUUGACGGGUAGCCGGCCUGAGAGGGUGACCGGCCUCAUUGGGACUGAGAUACGGCGCAGACUCCUACGGGAGGCAGCAGUGGGGAAUAUUGCACAGUGGGCGGAAGCCUGAGGCAGAAACGCUGCGUGCGGGAUGACGGCCUUCUGGUUGUAAACCGCUUUCGCCUGUGACGAAGCGUGAGUGACGGUAAUGGGUAAAGAAGCACCGGCUAACUACGUG